rnacentral:rRNA from 1 species
CCUACGGGUGGCAGCAGUGGGGAAUAUUGCACAAUGGGGGAAACCCUGAUGCAGCGACGCCGCGUGAGUGAAGAAGUAAUUCGUGAUUGAAAACUCUAUCAGCAGGGAAGAAAAUGACGGUACCUGAGUAAGAAGCCCCGGCUAAAUACGUACCAGCAGCCGCGGUAAUACGGAGGGGGCAAGCGUUAUCCGGAUUUACUGGGUGUAAAGGGAGCGUAGACGGCAGUGCAAGUCUGGCGUGAAAGGCGGGGGCUCAACCCCCGGACUGCUCUGGAUACUGUACGGCUGGAGUGCAGGAGAGGUAAGUGGAAUUCCUGGUGUAGCAGUGAAAUGCGUAGAUAUUAGGAGGAACACCAGUGGCGAAGGCGGCUUACUGGACUGUAACUGACGCUGAGGCACGAAAGCGAGGGGAGCAAACAGGAUUAGAUACCCCAGUAGUC